rnacentral:rRNA from 1 species
UACGUAGGGUCCGAGCGUUGUCCGGAAUUAUUGGGCGUAAAGAGCUCGUAGGCGGUCUGUCGCGUCGGCUGUGAAAACUCAGGGCUCAACCCUGAGCCUGCAGUCGAUACGGGCAGACUAGAGUUCGGUAGGGGGAGACUGGAAUUCCUGGUGUAGCGGUGAAAUGCGCAGAUAUCAGGAGGAACACCGGUGGCGAAGGCGGCUCUCUGGACCACAACUGACGCUGAGGCGCGAAAGCUAGGGGAGCAAACAGG